rnacentral:rRNA from 1 species
CGAUAAUCUUCCUUAUGGUUCGGGAUAACUUUGGGAAACUGAAGCUAAACCCGGAUAUGAGAUUGAGGCUGGAAUGCACUUUCUCUGAAAAGCAAUGCCAUAAGAUGAGUCGGCGGCUGAUUAGGCUGUUGGUGAGGUAAAGGCUCACCAAACCAGAGAUCAGUAGGGGGAGUGAGAGCUCUAGCCCCGAGAAGGACACUGAGAAAAGGGUCCUAGUCCUAAGGGAUGCAGCAGUCGCGAAACCUUUACAAUGCACGAAAGUGUGAUAAGGGGAUUCCAAGUGCUUUACUUUCGGGUAAGGCUUUUGCCAAGUCUAAAUAGCUUGGCGAAUAAGUGGUGGGCAAGACCGGUGCCAGCCGCCGCGGUAACACCGGCGCCACGAGUGGGGAUCGUAUUUAUUGGGUCUAAAGCAUCCGUAGCCGGUUCAGCAACUCUUUUGUGAAAUUGUUGCGCUUAACGUAACAGCGUGCAAAAGAAACUACUGAACUUGGGACCGGGAGGGGCCAGAGGUACUCUAGGGGGAGCGGUAAAAUGUUAGAAUCCCUGGAGGACCACCGAUGGCGAAGGCAGUUGCCUAGAACGGGUCUGACGGUCAGGAACGAAGGCCAGGGUAGCAAAACGGAUUAGAUACCCGAGUAGUCCUGUGCAGUAAACGCUGUGAGCUGUGUGUUGCACAUUCUUUGUGGAUGUGCAGUGCCUAAGCGAAAGUGUUAAGCUCACCACCUGGGGAGUACGGUCGCAAGAUUGAAACUUAAAGGAAUUGGCGGGGGCUCACUACAAGGGGUGAAGAGUGCGGUUC